rnacentral:rRNA from 1 species
CGUGAACGCUGGCGGUAGGCCUAACACAUGCAAGUCGAACGGCAGCACAGUAAGAGCUUGCUCUUACGGGUGGCGAGUGGCGGACGGGUGAGGAAUACAUCGGAAUCUACUUUUUCGUGGGGGAUAACGUAGGGAAACUUACGCUAAUACCGCAUACGACCUACGGGUGAAAGCAGGGGAUCUUCGGACCUUGCGCGAUUGAAUGAGCCGAUGUCGGAUUAGCUAGUUGGCGGGGUAAAGGCCCACCAAGGCGACGAUCCGUAGCUGGUCUGAGAGGAUGAUCAGCCACACUGGAACUGAGACACGGUCCAGACUCCUACGGGAGGCAGCAGUGGGGAAUAUUGGACAAUGGGCGCAAGCCUGAUCCAGCCAUCCCGCGUGGGUGAAGAAGGCCUUCGGGUUGUAAAGCCCUUUUGUUGGGAAAGAAAAGCAGCAGGUUAAUACCCCGCUGUUCUGACGGUACCCAAAGAAUAAGCACCGGCUAACUUCGUG